rnacentral:rRNA from 1 species
AGUUUGAUCCUGGCUCAGGUUGAACGCUGGCGGAAUGCUUUACACAUGCAAGUCGAGCGGCAGCGCGGGGCAACCUGGCGGCGAGCGGCGAACGGGUGAGUAACAUAUCGGAACGUAUCCAUAAGUGGGGGACAACCUAGCGAAAGUUAGGCUAAUACCGCAUACGCAGGGAACUGGAAAGUGGGGGAUCGCAAGACCUCACGCUUUAGGAGCGGCCGAUAUCAGAUUAGCUUGUUGGUGAGGUAAAGGCUCACCAAGGCGACGAUCUGUAGCUGGUCUGAGAGGAUGAUCAGCCACACUGGGACUGAGACACGGCCCAGACUCCUACGGGAGGCAGCAGUGGGGAAUUUAUGGACAAUGGGGGCAACCCUGAUCCAGCCAUUCCGCGUGAGUGAAGAAGGCCUUCGGGUUGUAAAGCUCUUUUGUUCGGGACGAAACGGUUAAGGCUAAUAACCUUGACUAAUGACGGUACCGGAAGAAUAAGCACCGGCUAACUACGUGCCAGCAGCCGCGGUAAUACGUAGGGUGCGAGCGUUAAUCGGAAUGACUGGGCGUAAAGCGUGCGCAUGAGGUUUUAUAAGCCAGAUGUGAAAUCCCCGGGCUCAAUCUGGGAAUGGCAUUUGGGACUGUAAGACUAGAGUAUGGCAGAGGAGACUAGAAUAUCUGGUGUAGCAGUGAAAUGCGUAGAUAUCAGGAUGACUACCGAUGGCGAAGGCAGGUCUCUGGGUCAAUACUGACGCUCAUGCACGAANGCGUGCGGGAGCAAACANGAAUAGAAUACCCUGGGUAGUCAUUGGCGAAUUUCAGG